AUGAGAAGCAAACAGCGUUUAUACAAGCACCACAAUUUAAUUCAGAUGUUCAUUCAACAUAUACUUCCCAGGAACUCAGAAGAUGUGGAGCCCUCACGAGACCACAAGUGUACAUCAUUUCUCCCUAAGAAGAGAGCCACAUUGACUUACAAUUUGUCAUCAAGAGGCAGCCUCAGAUUUCUGCAGUAGAGCAGGGUCUGAUAAACACCUCCCAGUGCCACCAGGAAAGCAGAGGUAAUCUUUGAGAAAUAAAUAAAUAAAUAAAUUCUAAAAAAGCUCUGGA
rnacentral:lncRNA from 1 species